rnacentral:lncRNA from 1 species
GUGCAUCAAACAGGGUGCGGUGUUUGAAUUGCUACUGUGAAAUGGUGGAUCUGGUUGAUAGAAAAUGUCACAUGGAGGAUAGAGCAUUGUAUUGUUUUGAAAAAAAGUACAAGCAAAAAAAAUGAAAAUGAAACGCUGACAAUACAAUUGAGUUUAUCUUGUUAGAUAACUUGCAUGAAAAUGCCAACCCAACAAGGUGUCUGCAUUAGAAUUGGGAUGGAUUGAAAAUUGUCAUGUGAAUGAAAUUGCAAACACGAUGUGGAAUCCGAGAGUAGGAUUUGUGGAAUUGUGACCCUGUUUUAUUGGCAUGAAGACACAUGGGGUUUGAGGGUUGGGAUUGCGAGAGUUACGUGUUUUUUUGCUCGUGUGUUAGAGGGUUUGGAAUUAUGUGAAAUGGAUUAUUUGGGAAUAGAGUAGAAAGAGAGGAUUUUGAUGUUUUUAGUCUGUUGGAAUUUUCCAAGAUGCUGUGCAAAAGAGAAAGAAAAAGACAGCCACAAUUGUAGUGUUUUGAUAAACUGAAAGUGAUUAAGGUUAGUACACAAACCAGUGGAGUACAUAAAAUUGAAACUUAUCCAUUUAACCUUAAAAGUGAAGUAACCAUCACAUUUGGUUGAAUUUGCAAUAGAUCAUUCUUCUGCACCAUUACAACAUCAAUUUCAUCUUGUGAUGUCAUUCACAAAAUGGGGAUUGAUCUGCACAGCCCAAUGCCUUAUCAACAUCAUAUUGUUUGUCUCCAGCUGCAAAAAACAUUAUUAUAUUAUUAUUGUUAUUAACAUAAAAUUUACAAAUUUGCAUGUACAUGUCUGCUGGUUGCUGUGACUUGUGAGGCAAUGUACAAUUGACUCACAUGAGAAUGAGGAGAAACAUGCUGACACUCUGAAUAAAUGUACACUUGAAAAGAAUAAUAAUGAAAAAAAAAAAGAAAAAGAAAAAGGAAAAACACAUGAAAGCAAGUAAGAAAGAAUGUCAAACACAAGAUGCAGACCUUUGACAUCCAGCCCUAAAGUUUUUAGUAAGGACUUAGUGCAGAUCAUGCAUGAAUCACUUGAAUUGUCAUUGAAAUGGCUCCAGUUUACAUUGGGAGCUG